rnacentral:rRNA from 1 species
GAUGAACGCUGGCGGCGUGCUUAACACAUGCAAGUCGAACGGUGAAGCAGAGCUUGCUCUGUGGAUCAGUGGCGAACGGGUGAGUAACACGUGAGCAACCUGCCCCGGACUCUGGGAUAAGCGCUGGAAACGGCGUCUAAUACCGGAUACGAGAUUCCACCGCAUGGUGAGUUUCUGGAAAGAUUUUUUGGUCUGGGAUGGGCUCACGGCCUAUCAGCUUGUUGGUGAGGUAAUGGCUCACCAAGGCGUCGACGGGUAGCCGGCCUGAGAGGGUGACCGGCCAGACUGGGACUGAGACACGGCCCAGACUCCUACGGGAGGCAGCAGUGGGGAAUAUUGCACAGUGGGCGGAAGCCUGAUGCAGCAACGCCGCGUGAGGGAUGACGGCAUUCGGGUUGUAAACCUCUUUUAGAAGGGAAGAAGCGAAAGUGACGGUACCUGCAGAAAAAGCGCCGGCUAACUACGUGCCAGCCGCCGCCGUAAUAC